rnacentral:rRNA from 1 species
AGCGAACGCUGGCGGCAGGCUUAACACAUGCAAGUCGAACGGGCUUCUUCGGAAGUCAGUGGCAGACGGGUGAGUAACACGUGGGAACGUGCCCUUCGGUUCGGAAUAACUCAGGGAAACUUGAGCUAAUACCGGAUACGCCCUUUUGGGGAAAGGUUGACUGCCGAAGGAUCGGCCCGCGUCUGAUUAGCUUGUUGGUGGGGUAACGGCCUACCAAGGCGACGAUCAGUAGCUGGUCUGAGAGGAUGAUCAGCCACACUGGGACUGAGACACGGCCCAGACUCCUACGGGAGGAAGCAGUGGGGAAUAUUGGACAAUGGGCGCAAGCCUGAUCCAGCCAUGCCGCGUGAGUGAUGAAGGCCUUAGGGUUGUAAAGCUCUUUUGUCCGGGACGAUAAUGACGGUACCGGAAGAAUAAGCCCCGGCUAACUUCGUG